UCGAGCGGACAGAUGGGAGCUUGCUCCCUGAUGUUAGCGGCGGACGGGUGAGUAACACGUGGGUAACCUGCCUGUAAGACUGGGAUAACUCCGGGAAACCGGGGCUAAUACCGGAUGGUUGUUUGAACCGCAUGGUUCAGACAUAAAAGGUGGCUUCGGCUACCACUUACAGAUGGACCCGCGGCGCAUUAGCUAGUUGGUGAGGUAACGGCUCACCAAGGCGACGAUGCGUAGCCGACCUGAGAGGGUGAUCGGCCACACUGGGACUGAGACACGGCCCAGACUCCUACGGGAGGCAGCAGUAGGGAAUCUUCCGCAAUGGACGAAAGUCUGACGGAGCAACGCCGCGUGAGUGAUGAAGGUUUUCGGAUCGUAAAGCUCUGUUGUUAGGGAAGAACAAGUGCCGUUCAAAUAGGGCGGCACCUUGACGGUACCUAACCAGAAAGCCACGGCUAACUACGUGCCAGCAGCCGCGGUAAUACGUAGGUGGCAAGCGUUGUCCGGAAUUAUUGGGCGUAAAGGGCUCGCAGGCGGUUUCUUAAGUCUGAUGUGAAAGCCCCCGGCUCAACCGGGGAGGGUCAUUGGAAACUGGGGAACUUGAGUGCAGAAGAGGAGAGUGGAAUUCCACGUGUAGCGGUGAAAUGCGUAGAGAUGUGGAGGAACACCAGUGGCGAAACGCGACUCUCUGGUCUGUAACUGACGCUGAGGAGCGAAAGCGUGGGGAGCGAACAGGAUUAGAUACCUGGUAGUCCACGCCGUAAACGAUGAGUGCUAAGUGUUAGGGGGUUUCCGCCCCUUAGUGCUGCAGCUAACGCAUUAAGCACUCCGCCUGGGGAGUACGGUCGCAAGACUGAAACUCAAAGGAAUUGACGGGGGCCCGCACAAGCGGUGGAGCAUGUGGUUUAAUUCGAAGCAACGCGAAGAACCUUACCAGGUCUUGACAUCCUCUGACAAUCCUAGAGAUAGGACGUCCCCUUCGGGGGCAGAGUGACAGGUGGUGCAUGGUUGUCGUCAGCUCGUGUCGUGAGAUGUUGGGUUAAGUCCCGCAACGAGCGCAACCCUUGAUCUUAGUUGCCAGCAUUCAGUUGGGCACUCUAAGGUGACUGCCGGUGACAAACCGGAGGAAGGUGGGGAUGACGUCAAAUCAUCAUGCCCCUUAUGACCUGGGCUACACACGUGCUACAAUGGACAGAACAAAGGGCAGCGAAACCGCGAGGUUAAGCCAAUCCCACAAAUCUGUUCUCAGUUCGGAUCGCAGUCUGCAACUCGACUGCGUGAAGCUGGAAUCGCUAGUAAUCGCGGAUCAGCAUGCCGCGGUGA
rnacentral:rRNA from 1 species